GGCAUUCCCCAGGCCCGGAGUGAAAGUGGAGCUGAAGCAGGUGAGUCCCAGGCGAUGAUGACGGCAGUGAUGAAGAAAAGACAGGACCCUCAGCUCUGUCUGCAGAUCUCCUUGGAAAUGACCGAGUCCAGGACCAGCUUCAAGGUUCUUCCUGUGUGACCUCACUACCUGGGCUCUUCGGUUGUGAUCAGACCUGUGUGAUGUGGGAAAGAAGAGGUGGUGGCCAUGACGUCACAGGAGCUUGCAGAGCAGAAGGCAAGGUCUGAGCCCACCCGGGGUCACAUCCUCUUACUCCAAGAUCGGCUGAAGUCACUUCCUUAUGUAACCAGGGCUGCCCACACCCAGCCACUAUUUCCUGCCCGGGGUCAGGAAGUCAGAUCACGCCCCUCCUAACCUCUCAGUAGCCUAUAGUUAUCUACAAGCGCUCGGGGCUCUUUUGCCUGGGUCUCUGAGACUCCUUAACUCAGUUACCAUCUUGCUUCCAGAUCCUGACUUUGUCUUUGAGUCCCUGGCUUCUGCUUGGACUUCCUGGCCUCCAGGCCCAGAGUCACUGCAGUGCUCUGGCAGCUACUGGAAAUGUAAGCCCUGGGCUGCUGGUUUGGAGCUGUGUUUUCUCCUCCAUCUUCUU